rnacentral:rRNA from 1 species
GAUGAACGCUGGCGGCGUGCCUAAUACAUGCAAGUCGAUCGGGCGUAGCAAUACGCCAGAGGCGAACGGGUGAGUAACACGUAGGUAACCUGCCCUCGAGACUGGGAUACCCAGACGAAAGUUUGGCUAAUACCGGAUAACAACAUUAGAGGCAUCUCUGAUGUUUGAAAGGCGCUUUAUAGCGUCACUCUUGGAUGGACCUGCGGCACAUUAGCUAGUUGGUGAGAUAAUAGCCCACCAAGGCAAGGAUGUGUAGCCGAUCUGAGAGGAUGACCGGCCACAAUGGGACUGAGACACGGCCCAUACUCCUACGGGAGGCAGCAGUAGGGAGUUUUCGGCAAUGGGGGAAACCCUGACCGAGCAACGCCGCGUGAGUGAUGAAGGUCUUCGGAUUGUAAAGCUCUGUUACAGGGGACGAAUGGUUGGCCUAGGAAAUGAGGUCAGCUUGACGGUACCCUGCCAGAAAGUGACGGCUAACUACGUGCC